UUAAAUCUAGGAUUAUUCUGUACCUUGUAAUCAUGAACUGAAGUUUCUCUCUAUCUACUAAGAUGGGCAAAGAGUGUCCCUGCAGUAAUCAGAGGCAAGCAAAAGCCUCAGACAAUGCUGAAGUCAUGUGCAUUUCUGAUCAAAGAGGACGAGGUGGAGGGAAAAGGAAGCAAAGGAACUGGCUGGAAGGCUGGAGCUGCAAUACACAGCAUAUUCAGGAUGUCUAUGGAAAGUUCAUGGAUUUCCUUAACUCUAGCACAUGUAUGUAAAGAUUCCAUUUGAGUUUCAUGAAUGUCAUUUCUCCAUGAAGUCAUAUUGGCAAGAAAAAUGGUCUUCAAAAUCAAUUUCUUCUUUGCUGGGCCUUCCAUUCAUUGAUUCCUGGUUCCAAGCUACCAUGCUGCAAAUGAGUCGCAAAGAUAAGUCAAGACCACUAUUCAGCCAGCCUCUACAGAUGGGGACCCUGCAACUCUCAGAGAGGUGAUGACCUUUCUCAAACAAGUUUUCAGAUUAUUGUUUUGGAUUAUUUAUGUAAUGAUUGUUUGACUUGCUUUUUUUAACCUGGCAGCCAAAACACAAUCUGCUGUUGGUAACAAUGGAAAAAUUUUAUUCAGCAGAAUUCUGUUUGGGGAGGGCACUACACUUGUUUCAAAGGCAUGUCUUCAUAAGGCCUGUUAAAAGUUUAGCCUAAAGCUGCCUCCUUACAUAUUUUAAAUUUGGCCUAAGGGGUUCUCCAUGCAUAGUGAACCCUAAUCUAAGCGGAUGUGUAAACAGACUGGAACCUAAUCUUGUCAUGAGUAGCCAAGGCUCAGCCAAUCACAGAAACGUACUCAAUCACUCACAGGCUGCCGGCUGUUCAAACUGUGUUCAAAUAAGGCAAAGCCAAGCUAUAACCAAUCCAGCUUUCCUGCACCUCUCUUUUCUAUAGUCACUGUCCCUUUUCUGUGCACAGACUCUCUGCAACCACGCAGCAGCCCUGGAGCUGCUCGCAACCUAUUCUGGUUGGGGGAAGAAGGGGAUGCUUGAUUCUCAAAUUGUUCUUUGCUCAAUUAAACUCUGCUAAAUGUAA